rnacentral:tRNA from 1 species
GGUUUUGUGGUGUAGUUGGUUAUCACGUCAGUCUAACACACUGAGGGUCUCCAGUUCUAACCCCCGGCCGAAGCCA